CGCGCAGGCGGCCAUCUUUGUCAGGCGUGAAAGCCCUGGGCUUAACCUGGGAACUGCGUCUGGGACGGGGUGGCUAGAGAUCGGGAGAGGAGAGUGGAAUUCCCAGUGUAGAGGUGAAAUUCGUAGAUAUUGGGAAGAACACCGGUGGCGAAGGCGGCUCUCUGGACCGAGACUGACGCUGAGGCGCGAAAGCGUGGGGAGCAAACAGGAUUAGAUACCCUGGUAGUCCACGCUGUAAACGAUGUGUGCUAGACGUUGGGGAGCCUAGCUCUUCGGUGUCGCAGCUAACGCGAUAAGCACACCGCCUGGGGAGUACGGCCGCAAGGUUAAA
rnacentral:rRNA from 1 species